CCUACGGGAGGCAGCAGUGGGGAAUAUUGGUCAAUGGACGCAAGUCUGACCCAGCAACGCCGCGUGAAGGAAGAAGGCUCUCUGGUUGUAAACUUCUUUUUAGGGGGAAGAGCAGAAGACGGUACCCCUUGAAUAAGCCAUGGCUAACUACUUGCCAGCAGCCGCGGUAAUACGUAGGUGGCAAGCGUUGUCCGGAUUUACUGGGUGUAAAGGGCGUGCAGCCGGGAAGACAAGUCAGAUGUGAAAUCCCGCGGCUCAAACGCGGAACUGCAUUUGAAACUGUUUUUCUUGAGUAUCGGAGAGGUGAGCGGAAUUCGUGGUGUAGCGGUGAAAUGCGUAGAUAUUAGGAAGAACACCGGUGGCGAAGGCAGAUUACUGGACGACAACUGACGGUGAGGCGCGAAAGCGUGGGGAGCAAACAGGAUUAGAUACCCGUGUAGUC
rnacentral:rRNA from 1 species